rnacentral:rRNA from 1 species
AGUGAACGCUGGCGGUAGGCCUAACACAUGCAAGUCGAACGGCAGCACAGUAAGAGCUUGCUCUUACGGGUGGCGAGUGGCGGACGGGUGAGGAAUACAUCGGAAUCUACUUUUUCGUGGGGGAUAACGUAGGGAAACUUACGCUAAUACCGCAUACGACCUACGGGUGAAAGCAGGGGAUCUUCGGACCUUGCGCGAUUGAAUGAGCCGAUGUCGGAUUAGCUAGUUGGCGGGGUAAAGGCCCACCAAGGCGACGAUCCGUAGCUGGUCUGAGAGGAUGAGCAGCCACACUGGAACUGAGACACGGUCCAGACUCCUACGGGAGGCAGCAGUGGGGAAUAUUGGACAAUGGGCGCAAGCCUGAUCCAGACAUACCGCGUGGGUGAAGAAGGCCUUCGGGUUGUAAAGCCCUUUUGUUGGGAAAGAAAAGCAGCAGGUUAAUACCCCGCUGUUCUGACGGUACCCAAAGGAUAAGCACCGGCUAACUUCGUG